AAAACUUUUCCAAAAAAAAAAAAAAAAAAAAAAAAUCUGUUCUUAUCAGUUUAAUAUCUGAUACGUCCCCUAUCUGGGGACCAUAUAUUAAAUUGAUUUUUGGAAUAGGGAGAUGGAAUAGGGGCUUGCUCCGUCCACUCCACGCAUCGACCUGGUAUUGCAGUACCUCCAGGAACGGUGCACCCCCU
rnacentral:snRNA from 1 species